UACGAAGGGUGCAAGCGUUACUCGGAAUUACUGGGCGUAAAGCGUGCGUAGGUGGUUCGUUAAGUCCGAUGUGAAAGCCCUGGGCUCAACCUGGGAAUGGCAUUGGAUACUGGCGGUCUGGAGGGAGGUAGGGGCGUGCGGAACUGUAGGUGGAGCGGUGAAAUGCGUUGAUAUCUACAGGAACUCCGGUGGCGAAGGCGGCACGCUGGACCUUUUCUGACGCUGAGGCGCGAAAGCCAGGGGAGCGAACGGG
rnacentral:rRNA from 1 species